rnacentral:misc_RNA from 1 species
UCCGGUUUGUCACCGGCAGUCUACCUAAAGUGCAUCGCUUGCGCGAUUAGCAACUAAGUAUAGGGGUUGCGCUCGUUACGGGACUUAACCCAACAUCUCACGACACGAGCUGACGACAGCCAUGCAGCACCUGUCUCAUGGUUCCGAGGCACUCCCGCAUUUCUGCAGGAUUCCAUGGAUGUCAAGGGUAGGUAAGGUUUUUCGCGUUGCGUCGAAUUAAACCACAUGCUCCACCGCUUGUGCGGGCCCCCGUCAAUUCCUUUGAGUUUCAACCUUGCGGUCGUACUCCCCAGGCGGGGUACUUCCUGCGUUAGCGCCGGCACCCAGAGGGUCGCUCCCCCAGGCACCUAGUACCCAUCGUUUACGGCGUGGACUAC